CCUACGGGAGGCAGCAGUGGGGAAUAUUGCGCAAUGGACGAAAGCCUGACGCAGCGACGCCGCGUGAGGGAUGAAGGUCUUCUGAUCGUAAACCUCUGUUAGUAGGGAAGAACGGCGACUCUGCUAAUCAUCAGUGCAUUGACUGUACCUGCAAAGGAAGCACCGGCUCACUCCGUGCCAGCAGCCGCGGUAAUACGGAGGGUGCGAGCGCUAAUCGGAUUUACUGGGCGUAAAGGGCUCGUAGGCGGUAGGUCAAGUCAAGGGUGAAAUCCCCGGGCUCAACGUGGGAACUGCAUUUGAAACUGGCAGACUGGAGUGUGUGAGAGGUUAGUGGAAUUCCAGGUGUAGGGGUGAAAUGCGUAGAUAUCUGGAGGAACAUCGGUGGCGAAGGCGACUAUCUGGAAUAUAACUGACGCUGAGGAGCGAAAGCGUGGGUAGCAAACAGGAUUAGAUACCCGAGUAGUC
rnacentral:rRNA from 1 species